UUUAAUUAAUUAAUAAUAAUUUAAUGUAAAUCAUCGCUUAUCAGAACAGAGAGAGAGUAAACAAAGCAUAAACUCAAAAUAAGCAACAUUCGUGAACGCAAUCUACAAAGGAUUACACAACGCUAUAAAAGUCACAAUUAUAUCAAUGAUAGUGCCGUAAGAGUAUAUUGUUAUCCUUCAAACCGACACUCGGUUUUGUUCUGCGCGGGAGACCGCUCGUGUCACACAAACAAACUAGAGUCUACACAUAUCAAACGAAUUAAUUAGUGAUGUGAAUUAUAAAAAAGUUAUUUUAAAUAAAAUACUACCGAUUAUUAUCUGUAUGGAACAUCUUAUACCGGAUUUUGAGUCGUUUGAAAUGAUGUCUUUCAAUUCCUAAUCAAAUGUGGACGUAUUCAAGCGUGGAGCUACCAUCCAAUCGCGUUAAUCGGACCGAAAGAUUUCGAAUAUAUCUAUCCGAAUGUAUAGUUUGCUUUUGCAUCUUAUUCUUCAUAGUUUGCGUUGGACUCCUCUUAUAUCUGUUCUUCCAUUUAUACAGUACUGUUACAAAAGCAAGGAAAAUGGAGACUUUAAUAGAGAGCUGAAAUAUUAUUUUAAGUUAUAAAAUUAAGUGUUUGUUUUUUCUUCAUUGUAAUAUUGUUUAGUCAGUAACUUUUUUGUUAUGUUGUUUUUAUGAGUUGGGAUUAUUGUGAAGGCUGAAAAUCUUUUCGUACCUGUAAUGUUUAUGUCAGAGUGUUAUCUUCAGAUAAUAUUAUAGGCUUUUAGAUAAAUAAAAUUUUUAUUAUUA